rnacentral:lncRNA from 1 species
GGGGGGGGGGGGUGUGUGUGUGUGUGUGUGUGUGUGUGUGUAUGUGUGUGCUCAGCGUCCUCCUUUACAUAUUAAAGAAGAAUGAAGCCAAGUUCAUACGAGGGCAAUCCGUCACUCUAUUUAAAGCUCCGACUUUUGUGCGCUCGGAAGGGCUUUAUUCUAGCGCUCUCUGACAAAACCAUGACUUAUGAUCAAACGUCAGGCCUCGCGAGGCGCCAUUUCGUUCCAGUGCUACCCACGCUCGGAGCCAAAAAGGAGUCGCUGUGAAUUUGUGGGAAGCAUGCAUGUGUGUGCCGUACGGCAUCUUUCGAUGGAAAACGUCGACCUUUUCUUGCACAAGCGGAACCUGAAAUUGAUUCUGCCUGAAGAACGGCUGCAUCAUGAUCUGCAGGCUCUGAGCCUAAGCCGCCAUCAAAAAUGCGUGCCAUGCAGCCAAAAGUCCAACUUCUACACAUAAUUGCUCAGACAGUGGAAUUGCCAUGGCAACACCCGAUACUCCUACAACAUUCACUUGCUCCCACGAUAAAGGGCCCCCUGUUGGCGUUGUUGAAACGGAUCGGGCAAAGGCGGGAACGGGGCAGAAGGUGCCUCCCACUGUUCCUGCAGAUGUGGGUUGAUGUUCUGACCCUGACUGUGCGGUUGCGGCAGCAGUGUCUCCCGAGCCAAUCUAUUUUGGCCAAAAGCCGGUCCAUUUGGGUUAUUUGGGCAAUCUCUAGACCAGUGGCUAACUUGGCUGCACGCUUGACAUAUCUCUCUGCGCAUAUCUCAGUGUCUACGCCCAUGUCCAUGGCUCGCACCAGCAUUAUAAUUGGCAUGUCUCUCUCUCUCUGCCCCCUCCUGGCAAUGUAUUUACUUGCGCAUGCAUCACCUUUGCUGUUGUCUCAGCACUUCGUUGUUCAAUCAGUAAGCUACAAUGGUUUAUAAAUGGCAGCAUGUCUUUCACGAUCUUAGUUUCCCAUCCCAUGCAUAUACGUUUGGCAUCGGCUUGUAAUUUUGCAGCUAAUCUACUGACAAAGGCAUGGGAAAAUGGCACUCCCUCAUCAUCCGGCAAACCCGAAUACCAUCUGUACACAUUAUGUAGGCGCUAUUAAUAGUCUGAUGGGUCUUUGCCCACUCUCUGUUUACAUACUUGAAUCUUUCCCCAAUCCGUUUUAAGUGGUGCUACGACCACCAAUUCCUCAAUGAGGUCGUUGAUAUGAUUAUUGAGUGUGUCCCUACCUGGGGGCACCUCUUCUGGCCACUUGGCAGUUUGUUUCAGCUGUCGCAGCAACCCCUCGGGCACAAUCAGUCGCAAUAAAACAUUCAUGUCUACAUAAGUUGGGUUAUGUCAUUCCACAAUAACUCAUAAUCCCGUUGAAACCUCUGUGGAUUUCCAUGCAUUUUCGGCAUAUCGUUCGCUAUUACUCUUCAUUCUGAACCCCAUGGUCUAUAAAUGGCUUGCACGUUGUUCGGGCCAGGGUAAUCUCACAAUGGAUAUGCACCUAUUGGUGCAAUUUCCUCCUUAUCACCCUCUGUAGUGUCCCUGAUCUUUUGUGACCUGGUCCACACCCCGGCCGUACCAGCAUUGGGACCCCUUCCCUACCGGUGGGCGAUCAAUACCUCCGCAUCCCCGCGAUACCUUAUAUCCUUGUCCUCUGCAGCAUGUCUUUCAUCGUCACUAUCCAAAACCUCCGUUUUUGAUACUCC